CGCAGUUCUAUUUUUCCUGACUCAGGAUGGAAGAGAGGAAAAAUAAUGUACAAAUACAGACUUUUCCAGUUACAGGGAAUGUACUCAUUACCUGUAACUGGAAUGAGUACACUUUAAAUCUUUUGGGGGUAGCUCUACCACAGCCACGCCGAGGAGAUAGAGCCCUACUAAUCAAACGGUUGGUUGUAGGAUCCCAGCUGCUUCAGUCAGCAUGCCAAGAUAUCUUUGGGCAAGAUACUAAACCUUGAAUUUCUUUCCAUGUGUUCAUUAGAGUCUGAAUGCAUGUGAAUGUUAGAUAGAAAGCUUGUGUGAAUGGGUGAAUGAGGCUUGUAUUAUAAAGCACUUUAAAUGCUUUAAGUGCACUUUAAGUGCAUCUGUGUCCACACCUGACUAACAUCAAUUAAACAUGGAUAUAACAAAGCCACCAGCAGCUGUUUUCUUUUUCUUUGGUACGCUUAAAAAUGCAAGCAACAAAAAGAGCACUUUUCCACCACUGAUAUCAGCGGACCAAACUUAAAACGUGUUCUUUGCUUUGGCCACAGAGUUUGGAGCCCGAUUAGAUUCUUCAGACAGAGUGGGAAUGCAGAAACCCAGCUUGACAAACAUAUAAAUCACCCUUUUUUUUUUUUUUUUUUUUUUAGCUUUCUUGCACCUGUUGGAGUGAGACAAAUUGAACCUUUAUCAUUCUCCUUGGUACAUGGAGUUGGUUUCAACCUGAGCAGAGAUUUAAUCUCGGAUUAAUUAAUAACACACUGUUGAUGUGCAGUGCCUUUGGGGCUUAAGUCAUGAUUUAAUUAAAUAAAGCCAUGCCUCAACGACAUCCAAUAUUACAGUAAAACAAUAAAAUUUGAAUCAAGGACAGCAUUCAACUUCAUAAGAGGUUUAACAACUUUAAGGCAAAACUAAAGUAAAUAUGAAGUUAAAACUCAGAAGCAUUGAGGCACUGACAUCAGAUCAGUCAGUGAGGUUUCUCUGUAUAUCUUUGAGUUUUAAAGUUGUCACUGUGCAAAACACAGAGCAGUCUUAUCAGCAGGUCUUCAGACUCCUUGAUCCCCCAGUGACAUAUCUGCUCACCACUCCUGUACGUGCUUUUUACAAUUGGCUAUAUACAAUGCUCUGACACAGUAAAAACAACUUUAUUUGUCUGGGAUACUAAAGCCAUGCAACUGAUCUCCUG
ensembl:lncRNA